ACAAAGUAGCAUGAACAGGAUUUUAAUCAAACAUUUAAUGUAUUUUCCCUGGUGUCUUCGAAUAGAUUUUUUACGCUGAGGUGACGUAUUCAGUUACUGUGGCGUCAUACAUAAUUUAGAAGCACACAUUGUCUUGGUUGUAGUUUAUCUGAAGAUUCAUAUUUUUAAGAUUUUGUCUUUGUAAGUCUUACAAAGUAUCCGUAUACAGCUUUUACUCAAUCACACAAACCGCAUCAGAACAUUUUGCUUUUUUAAGAAACAGUCGGAAGUUCAGGAAUGAUUUGCUACGGAGUUGGUAUCAGAAUUCCUGGUAAGUUUUUUUUUUUUUCUUCCUGUUUUUUAAGGACAGUAUGUUAAAAUUUUAACUUGUUGCUUUUUUUUGUUGGUUUAGCUUACAAAAGGCCUGAUGUGGAGAGAAGAGCUUGCAAGGAAAAGGCAAGAAAGUGUAAAAAAAAAAAAAAAAAAAAAGGAAAGAAAUCAUGCCCCUCUCCAAGUCAGAGGAUAAUAAAUUGUGUAAAUAUAGUUCUAAUGCUGUUAGGCUGAAAGUUGAACUUAAUAUAUAAUUACUGAAAUAGACGAUUACAUUUAUAUCGUUGAUAUAAAUAAACAUGUUUAGAGUGAAUCCUCAUGAAGUAAUCAUUGUGCUUUUGCAGUUGACACUCCCAGAAACUGUCAACAGAGGGCCACAGGCCUCCACUGCGCGACCUUCUUUCCUGAGUCUGCAUCAAGUCAGAGGUGAUGGGAUCCACAUAUCUUAUAACACAUAUAUCUAUAACAUUCAAUUUUAACAUCACUCUGUUAGAUGUCACUGCGUAAUCUUACAUGCCUCCUUAAAAUUUAGAGUUGCACUUGGUGCAAACAAACAGGCAAUUAACUUCCUUUUUUGUCUUGAAUCCAUUAUGUUUUGUAGUGGCUCUUCCUUUUUUGGCCAAAUUCCGACCAUCCAGACAUCUAACAUCUUGUCCAAGCAAAACAGAGUUGACACUACCAAAACUCACCAUAGAAAGCCCUGUAGAAAAAUCACAGACCUCCUAUGUGCAUCCUACCUGUCCUUCUGUCCCAGGACCGGAUCCAUCCACAGGUAAGCAAGCGGCACAAAUCUCCUUACAUGCUGAAUGUUUCAGCACUACAACAUUUAGUUUUAACCUCACUGAGAUAUCAGAAUACAGACACCUUGUAAGUUUUCCUGUCUCUAUUGUCUUGAAUCUCUUUGGUUCGCAGUGGCUCGUCCUCUGUAUAAAUUCCCGCCAUCCAGACCGCGCACCUUAAACCCAAGCAAUUUGAAGAGGUCUCUCAGAUCUGAUGUAUCUACUUCUUAAAACACUUGCAUGUCUCACUAUUAGUGUUACAUUUGAUUUCACCUGAGUCUCAAAGGUUGUGGAUCUCUGAAAACGAUGGUGAUCAAAAUAAAUAAAUAAAAAUCUUUACAGCAUUUAAUACCUGUUUAUUAUUUCUGUCAGUACUCAGGUAAGGACAUUGAGCCAUUUGAUGGCCCUGGAUACCACAGAUUGUGAGCAAGAAUAUGAUGCAUAAUAAACAAUGCAGAAAAAAUUUCUUUGUACCUGUACAUUCAAUUCGUUCAUUCAUGUCAUCAAGAGGCAAUGCAUGAUGGAAAAAUGAACAAUUUGCAUGUGGAAACUUUAGCCACUAGGUGCCUCUAU
rnacentral:lncRNA from 1 species